rnacentral:rRNA from 1 species
UAAGCGGAGGAAAAGAAACUAACAAGGAUUCCCCUAGUAACGGCGAGUGAAGCGGGAUGAGCUCAAAUUUGUAAUCUGGUGGACUCAGUUCAUCCGAGUUGUAAUCUAUAGAAAAGUUUUCCGCGCCGGACCGUGUCUAAGUCCCUUGGAACAGGGUGUCAGAGAGGGUGAGAAUCCCGUGCUUGAUAACCACCGGUGCUAUGUGAUACUUUUUCAACGAGUCGAGUUGUUUGGGAAUGCAGCUCAAAAUGGGUGGUAAAUUCCAUCUAAAGCUAAAUAUUGGCGAGAGACCGAUAGCGAACAAGUACCGUGAGGGAAAGAUGAAAAGCACUUUGGAAAGAGAGUUAAACAGUACGUGAAAUUGUUAAAAGGGAAACGAUUGAAGAGUCGUGCUCUCUGGGACUCAGCCGGUUCUUCCGGUGUAUUUCCCAGUGAGCGGGUCAACAUCAGUUUAGAUCGCUGGAUAAGGUCAUUAGGAAUGUGGCUCCCUCGGGAGUGUUAUAGCCUAGUGUCGCAUACAGUGGUUUAGACUGAGGAACGCAGCUCGCCUUUAUGGCCGGGGUUCGCCCACGUCCGAGCUUAAUGUUGACAUAAUGGCUUUAAACGACCCCGUCUUGAAACACGGACCGGUCCG